UUGAAUGGCCGCGGUAAUUUGACCGUGCUAAGGUAGCAUAAUCAUUAGUUUUUUAAUUGAAAGCUGGAAUAAAAGGUUUAAUGAAAAAAUAACUGUCUUUUUUUAGUUAAUUUAGAAAUUUAUUUUUAAGUUCAAAAGCUUAAAUUUUAUUAAAAGACGAGAAGACCCUAUAGAGUUUUAUAGAUUAAUUAGUAUUUAUAUAUUGGAUUAAUUAUUUUUAUAAAUUAAAUUUAUUUAAUUGGGGUGAUUUAAAAAUUUAAUUAACUUUUUUUUAAAAAAUUAUAUAAAUUUAUAAGUAAUUGAUCCAUUGUUUUUGAUUAUAAGGUUAAAUUACCUUAGGGAUAACAGCGUAAUUUUAUUGGAGAGUU
rnacentral:rRNA from 1 species